UACAGAGGUCUCAAGCGUUGUUCGGAUUCAUUGGGCGUAAAGGGUGCGUAGGCGGCGCGGUAAGUCGGGUGUGAAAUCUCGGAGCUUAACUCCGAAACUGCAUUCGAUACUGCCGUGCUUGAGGACUGGAGAGGAGACUGGAAUUUACGGUGUAGCGGUGAAAUGCGUAGAUAUCGUAAGGAAGACCAGUGGCGAAGGCGGCUUCCUGGCCUGUUCUUGACGCUGAGGCGCGAAAGCUAGGGGAGCAAACGGG
rnacentral:rRNA from 1 species